rnacentral:rRNA from 1 species
CCUACGGGAGGCAGCAGUGGGGAAUUUUGGACAAUGGGCGCAAGCCUGAUCCAGCCAUGCCGCGUGCGGGAAGAAGGCCUUCGGGUUGUAAACCGCUUUUGUCAGGGAAGAAACGGCUCCUACUAAUACUGGGGGCUAAUGACGGUACCUGAAGAAUAAGCACCGGCUAACUACGUGCCAGCAGCCGCGGUAAUACGUAGGGUGCAAGCGUUAAUCGGAAUUACUGGGCGUAAAGCGUGCGCAGGCGGCUUUGCAAGACAGAUGUGAAAUCCCCGGGCUCAACCUGGGAACUGCAUUUGUGACUGCAAGGCUAGAGUACGGUAGAGGGGGAUGGAAUUCCGCGUGUAGCAGUGAAAUGCGUAGAUAUGCGGAGGAACACCGAUGGCGAAGGCAAUCCCCUGGACCUGUACUGACGCUCAUGCACGAAAGCGUGGGGAGCAAACAGGAUUAGAUACCCUGGUAGUCCACGCCCUAAACGAUGUCAACUGGUUGUUGGACGGCUUGCUGUUCAGUAACGAAGCUAACGCGUGAAGUUGACCGCCUGGGGAGUACGGCCGCAAGGUUGAAACUCAAAUGAAUUGACGG